CACCAGGAAAUAGAGAGGCAACGGCCUCAUCACCCCUUCUGGAAAGGCAGGGGAGCAGGAGGGAAGAUUUCCAGACGAUCUUCCUGGUGCUGCUGUCUCUGGUGUGUCUCCCAUGCCUUUCCCGGGCUGCGACAUGUGCGUUCCUCCUACGAGGCAGCAGGUGGCGCUGCAGGCCCUGGCUGUGGCUGGCUCCCCCCGCCUCGGGGCUGCACGUGGGGCAGUCCUGUUACUGUGUAUCGAGUCCGUGGUGUCUCAGCACAGCAGGUGACUUCCAAAGGGGUCCAACCCAUCACAACGGUGUUAUCCAUUGUGACUUUCCUUGUGAAGAGAGCGCUUGACCUUUAAAACACCCAGCUCUGUUUAUGGACAGGGCCAUAGCCUGAACGGCUUGGUCCUGACAAUAUAAUAAAGCAAAAUCCUGACUACA